GGUGCUGUGUAAAAUAGUCUCUGGACUGAUGCUUGGUGAAUUGGCUCCCGAAGCUCCUGCUGCUUGGAGUGGGUGACCUCAUAUUGUCCUCUUCCUUCUCAUGAACUGAGAGUCUGUGCCCUCGAGAGAGUCUUCUCAGUCACAUCAGAAGUCUUGCUCAGGUGUCUUCUUCCCCUUCCCUUUGAUGAUGUUUUCCGAAAACAGAGGGAGGAUUAUUUGGUCUGGAUUCUUUGAGGAUCUUUGGAAGACCAAACAAAGCAAAGGGGACACACACACACACACACACACACACACACACACACACACACACACUAGAAGGAAGUAAGGCAACAAUUUUGAGAAUAUAUUUGUAACAUAUUUAAAGCUUAUGGAAUCUCUGGUAUGAGCCUAAUAAGUUAGUAUUUCUUUGGGAGCAGUGGUGGGCACAUCUGCCUGUGUGGGGACACAGGACAAUAUGUGAGUGGCCUCUGGGUUUGGUCUUUGAAACACAUAUUUUUCUGGGAAUUAUACCACAUUAGCUGCUAGCCCUUUAGGACUCGGGGAGUUCUUGUGGAGUCUGUGGGUAACUGGAUAUUCGACUGUUUCAGAUAGUAACAUUGACUGGAUGUUUCUUGCUUGGAUACACUGGUGGUUACCUGGAGCUGAGAUGGCCUUCCAGAACACCUGUGUUCAUCUGGUUUUUCUCUGCUUGUGUACCUCACUUCUUCAAGGCCUACACUUUGCUCAAUCAUUGUAUAAACAUACUAAACUCAGAUCCCGAAGACCAAUGACACAGAUGGACUUUGAGAACACUAAGCAAUAUGUAAGGAGAUGUACCCUUCCGAUCCCCGCUGGUCUCCUCCACCUUUGGGGCAUCUGGCUAUUCUCUACACUAAACUCCCACAGCUGCUCUUGGCGUCCAGGGACCUCAGCUUGGGCCAGAUAUAGUGCCUGAGUUUAUUUCUCAGGUGCUUAUGUUUGAGUCUCUAGAGACUAAAGUCUGGAGGAGAAAACAUCAGAGACUUUCUUCUCACCACCAAGAACUCGUGAAAGGAUGUGAACUCACAACUUCUCUUUGCAUAAAACCACAGCUGCUCAAGUAAAAGAAACAACUAUGGUGAACUCAAAAUCCUCCCAGAGGUUCUUUCCUGCGUGCAUUUCCCACAAAUAUUUGAUGCCUUUCUUCUCCCUUAGGAGAUAUGAGAUAAAGACACACUGGCCACCCUGAUUAAGAACACAAGGAAACAUAAAUCCUGGUUGUCAAUUGCUGUGGAAUUUAUAUUAUAAAAAUUGCAGCAUGUAAAAAUGUUGCCAGGGAACUCAAUGAUUGGCAUAAGCAUCAAGAGUUACAGUUACUUUUACCCAAAACACUUUGUAAAUAGAAGGUCUGUGCAUCAAUGGAAGACACCGUAGGUAUGGAUAUUUUUUGUUUAUUUUUCCUUUUCACAGUAAAUUUGUAGUGAUGCUAUACUAGCAGAAAUUUUCACACCUUUCUACUUCAAAAGGUUUUCUUAUAGUACCGGGGAAAGUAUUUAUUUUAAUAUAUAAGAUCACUCUUGAAAAUCACUUUUGUAAAAAAAUGUUAUGAAUGUAAAUUUUUUUUUUAUCAAGGAGAAAUAAAAACAGGUGAGUGUGGGUCAUUUUUUUUUUCCUUCUUCUCAGUACAGUCUACCUCAGUGUCUUAUUAGGAUGUGGUUCAGUAACAGAUGUUGAGGCUUCAAGAUUCUGGCUGAAUCAUUCUCUGAGUUGGGGAGCUGUGUACCAUUUGAUUUUUAAAUGCCAGGGACUAGGGAGAACUUUGAAGGAGAGAGUUUAGAUUAAAAAGUUAGAGCCUUCCUGUGAACCCAAAGUCUUCUUGUUGGUGAUAUUCUUCAGAGUAUAUUCUCCAUACAAAAACCCAUCUGUUGAUUGCACACUCCUCACACACAAGCCACACUUCAAGUCAUCAUGAUUUAGCUCUUUGGAGGCCCCUGAUCUGAGGUCUUUGAAAAGUGGGUGUUCCUUUUACUGAUGAGGCUGUGAGCCAGUACCUUCAGAAGUCACAUGAAAUCCCCCGGACAUGAAUGCAAAGGGAAUCUGGGUUUUCUGACCAUGAUUUCUCACCCUGUUUAGACCCAUGAGGCUGUUUGUGGGCACCUCUUACACAAAUAGCUGAUGCAAGGGUAUUUGGAGAAAUCCUGCUAUGAAACCUAUCAGUUUCCUGAACAUAUCUUAAACAAUAAGAUAGGAACCCUAUGCUGGGGUUGGGUUGACUUCAAGCUGACACUGUUUGGCCUUGUGCAAUCUUGAGAACUCUGGAAAUCAAGGCGGGGCCAGCAUGGCUCCUAGUUUCAAGCUUUGACAUAUUAUUUCACUUUAGAACACUGUCCUUAAAAUUUUACUCUUUUCCAUCUUUUCUGGAAAGGUGCACCAACUUGGGUGACCCUACCAAAAAGGACUCCACUAAUUCCAUGUUGAUAUCUACUGUUGCUGGGAAGGAAACAAGUAGCUAUUGGGUCAUGAGACUCAUUUUGGUUUCAGAAGAUGUUAGCUUUGUGAGAUCUAGAAAAUCAUGGCUAUCCUGGGAGUUCGUAGUGAUGGAUGAAAGAGAGAGAGAAAAGAAAAUAGAAACAAAAGCAAGUUACAUUGAUAUUUCUUGUUGAGUUUUGGGAGAUGUCUCAUCAUUUUAAAACUACUUUCAUGAUCAUGAUGAAAUGCAGUUAUUUCUUCCAGGAUAGCAGCAGACAUGUUGUCUGGUUCAAUGAUGUCAAGCAUACAUCAGGAGAUGUUCAUGUACUUGGAGCCUUUCUAAAUGUUUCCCUGUCAUUUGAUGCUAGCUUGAAGGGAAGAGCCUUGAUGGCUUUCUGGAUUUAGGCUGAGCACAGUUUGGGAGAGUGGAGAUUGGCAGGAAGAGCUGAACUGUAUUGUGUGGCAGCUGGGUGUGGUGCCACCAACACAAGUAAAAACUAUCCUUACUAUCUUAUCAGGACAGACGUUCUACCAUGCACAGUGAUUAUUGGGUUAAGGGCUGUAAUUUUAUUUGAAACCUACCAUAACACUGGCUGGUGGGCAGUAUCACUGUGAGAGUCUGGUUCAUACUGGUGAUCUUGGUAAAUGAAUGAUGGUUGUUCUAGUAAUGGUUCUAUUUUAUGAUAGAUGGAUGUAUUCCAGAUUCUAGCUAAUGAAUUCUUGACAACAUAGGCUCUUCAAAAAUUAUGGUUUUGUCGGACAUGCGAAAAGAAUAGUGCUGAUUUUGUGUAAAUGGUGCACAUAGCAUAUAGUCAUUUUUAGAAAAACCUUCCAGUAUGUUCCUCAGAAUAUGAACUUAUACAAAAGAUGAAGUUGGGCAAUGGGAAUAACAGAAUAUCACUUGUUUAAACGACACAAAAUAAUAUGAUGGUCUUUUAAGAGGUAAUGACUGAAGGCAUAUGCAUCCUCAGAUAGUACUCAAGAAAUGGAGAUCAAUGAGUAUUUGAGCUAAUUUGAUACCAAUCAGGAUACAAAAAUCAGUCUCUGGUCAAAUUUUUAUCUGUAUGUGGGCCAUUUAAAAAAC
rnacentral:lncRNA from 1 species